UACGAAGGGGGCUAGCGUUGUUCGGAAUUACUGGGCGUAAAGCGCACGUAGGCGGACAUUUAAGUCAGGGGUGAAAUCCCGGGGCUCAACCCCGGAACUGCCUUUGAUACUGGGUGUCUCGAGUCCGGAAGAGGUGAGUGGAAUUCCGAGUGUAGAGGUGAAAUUCGUAGAUAUUCGGAGGAACACCAGUGGCGAAGGCGGCAUCCUGGACCGGCAUUGACGCUGAGGCGCGAAAGCCAGGGGAGCAAACGGG
rnacentral:rRNA from 1 species